GCCUGGUGGGGCCGAGGAGCGGGGAGGGGGCUCCGUGACCCGGGCGGCGGGCGCGUGGGCUGCUGCUGCACGCGGCCGACAGCCGCGAAGUCAGCUGUGCACGGGCCGGCCCUAACGGAGCCCUGAGCACGUGCACCUUGGUGCGCACGUUCACGCUUCCCUAAUUUAAUCCCGGGAACAUCGAGUGCGCGCCGUUAGUAGGACAUCGAGGGGCACAAAAGUGGAGCGUCUGGCCCGAGUUCACGCGGUAGUGAAGGAGUCAGAAUUUGAAUUCAGGACUGCUUUGCCAAGAUGUUGAGUUUUAUUCAGCUUUUCGAAGACUUUCUCGGUUUGAUCCCCUGCUGGGGUCCAGAAAUUGUCUCUUCCAGCUCUGCAAGUCUCUACCUUUCUGGGCUCCUUAUUUCCUUUCAUUCUUGGUUGCAAACUGAGCUCAUGUCAAAUGUAGCCAGAGCAAAGGACUUUUUUUUUUUUUUUUUUUUUUUUUUUUAAGAUUCAUUGCCAGAGAGCAGGAGGAGGGGCAGAGGGAGAGAAUCUCAAGCAGACACGGUGCUGCGUGCAGAGUCCAAGUUGGGGCUCCAUCCCACGGCCCUGCGAUCACGACCUGAACCAAAACCAAGAGUCCACACUUAACCCACCUGGCCACCCAGGGCCCCAAGGACACACGAAAAUUUAAGAAGCAAAGAGAUAAUGGGAUUUUAACAAAUCGGAGGUUUAAGAUUUCCAUGGAGGACGUCACUGCAGAGGGGCUGCAAACAGCAGGAGAACUGGAAUUCCAAGUGGAGCCCGUAGAUGGGACCGAAUCGCGGCAAUCCUGUGAUUGAACAUGAGGGAGGAGGCGUCGCUUCCUGGGGCCGAGCAAAGAAAGUGGUUUCCCAAGACGGAAUCUAGUCCUGGUGACGAUGCUGUGAAGACCGUUGAAGAGACACCAGAGGGUUUAGGAUAUCAUGUCCACUCAGGUGCUAAAGUGGUGGCAGGAAGUUCUCCUGUGGGUGAAAUGCUAUCAAACAGCAUCACGUGCGACAGAAAAAUUGAGAAAGGAAGUCAAUUGAUGGGCAAAUCGUUGUCUCAAUUUAGGAAUCUGACACAGACACUCCAGCCGUCAGCAGCCACCACCCUGAUCUGUCAGCGGCCACAGACAUCGAGGCGUGACCCUCCUCCAACGAAAGGACUACGACUCGCUGAGAGCUCAGAAUCUUUCCACAGAAUCUUUCCAGCUUCCUCAGACUGUUCGGACUUGGCAUGUGCUGAUGGACAGAGGCAGCAGGUGCCCCCCACAGCUCUUGCCUUGCUGAAUGGCAUGCCCAGCUCCUGGUGACAGGACUGUCUUGAGCAGACUCGCCAGUGUACUUCUGCUCCAAAGCUCCUGGAGGAUGUACUCCAUGUCUAUCCUGGAACUGUUUCCUCCUGAGUACGCCUGAAAAACAUGCUGCCGACCCAUCAAAUUCUAAGCAGCAGAGUUAUGGGGACACAAGUGGACAUCGGAGAAAUCUUGGGAGCUUCACAUCCCAAGGGCCUGCUCUACUCCUGUCUGGCUCAGUAUACCCAUCCUGGGAAGAGGAGAAAUCUACUAUCACCGGGCUGGUGGAACACAUGAACCAGAAGCUGAAGUAUCCUUUGGCCUGAGUGGGGAGGAGACCUCAAGAAACCAAAAAGUCCUGGAAAUCAGGGUUCUGCAGCCACUAAAAGAUGCUAUGCCGCUCCCCCCCCUCCCCCCCGGCCAAGUAGGCAGCACAACAUCAGUUCUCUGCCUCAAUGGGCCAGGCUGGAUGGUGUUCUUAACAAGAUGGGGUAAGGGGCAAGGCUCUGAGGGAUUUCCAUUGGACAGAGAGGGAUGAUUCUGUCACACAGAGAGGUCAUUUUUGAAGAAUUGCUAGAUCUCUGAUAAGCAAAGUUAUUUGUCUAUCAGAAUCCAGAACAGCUGUCCCUUCCAUUCCUUUACCUACAACGCCCGUUAUUUCCAUUCACCCAUGGGCGCUGACAUCACUUCUUCACCUCCAUCUGCACCGACAGCCGUGCAGCCUGGGAGCUUCCCCAACAGCUGUGAGGGGCGUCAGGACUCAGGUAUGUGGGCAAGCCAGCUGCUGGUUGCAGACCUACCGAGCAAAGGCCAGCCCUGGGUCCAGCUGACCAGGUUCCUGGUGAGCACCAGACAGCUCCAAUUAAAAGUGUCUCUCGCAGGCUUUAGGAGGGGAGAUUACUGUUGUCUUCUCACAGGCCCUGAGCCUCCAAGAGGCCAGUGUGCCCUUGAUCCAGCCCCACUCUUCCUGCUCUGUGCACUAGUGUGGCCCAUCAAUCAGCCCCCCCCCCCCCAAUCUAAUGGGUACAAUUCCUUAUUACAAAUGGGAAGCACAACAUAUAUUCCUUCCCUGCCAUCUCCAGGAAGACCGACCUCAUAAUCAGACUGUAUUACAAAUUAAGAACAAUCAUCCAGACUGGGCAGAUGGAAGACGGGGGAAUCCAGAGGUCAAAGGAGGCUGUCAGUGAACUUGAGUGCGCCAGGCAGGCAGCAGUUUUCUUACCCAGCAUGGGCCUGCUGGAAUAUGGAUGGCUACGUGCUGCUGCUGCUUCUGAUUCCUGGCCCCCAGACCGCCCGGAACCACAGCAGUCUCAGAAAGCCACAGGUACUGUCUCAGUGACUUCACACAAGUGGCUGAUUACUGAGGUAUCCCUCCUGUCCCUCAGUACAUGAGGCUCUGACUCUCUGGCAUUGCCCACUGGCUCACAACCACAAGACUGCUGUGGAAACACCAAGUCCCUGGCUGGUCUGGGUUCCCACCAGUUUCCUCUGGGCAGCAUGUGAGAAAGGGCUCCCUGCCUUUUUCCUUUCCUUUUUCUUUUUCAGGUAUCAUCCAGAUCUAGCUUCCAAGGGUUCCAAGACUUCCUCAUCCCAUCUGGACCCAAAAGCAAGAGCUGAUUUUUAAAAGUCAAAUUCUUGUUUCAUUUGGACAGAAGGAAUAAUGUAUCUUUCAUAUUUUCUUUGUAUUUCUCUUCAAUAGUUGCUUGACCCAAUAUCUGUCUGCUCUAUACAAUGAAAAUACAAACUAAA